rnacentral:lncRNA from 1 species
GGGAACGGCGCUUUCUUGGUGACCGGGAUCUGUGCCGUCUUGAGCUGGGGGACCGGGAGCGACUGCGGUGCCGAGACCUGUGGACAAAACUACACAUUGUAGACCAAACCCUGGGAAGAGAAAACCAAUCAUAAAAACAGUGAGAUAAAUAUGCAAGAGAAAAGUGCCACCAAACCGACCUUUCUCAUCAUCUUAUGGCGGUAGUGUGCUACUUGACGGUGGAUGGAGUAACCGGGCUUAAGGGAGCGCAGGCCUUGCUCCAGCUCAUCCUGGUACUGCAACACCCGGAUCUCCACUUCACGUAGCCUUGCCCGCCGCUCCUCACUCACGUCACUGUAGAGAAAACACAAUGUUCAGCACGUGAUGCUUCCAGGCCAAACAUCACCCUACUUCACCAACUCCACUAUUUCCAGUUAAGUAAUGAAGUAGAAGGCUCCAAACAUCUCAUGUUUACCCUUGAAGUCUGUCAAAUCCUCUGGAAUCUUCAGAGUAUUCGGAACCAUUGUCUUGUGAUUGUGAGUCUUCCUCGGAGGAGCCUCGUUUCUUGCGCUUGUAGUCAUCAUAUACCAAAGGGAUGCCGUCAAGGUCAUCCUCAUCUGCAGUGAACAAGACAGUGCAAUAGAUCUGUUCUAACAGAAACUGAAGAACUGUCCUCAUUUGCUCUUUGCAGCACAAUGAAAAUGUACCUUGAUCACCUUUUUAUAUAAAUAACCAAGUAACCUCAACCAUUGUAAGAAUUGUUUCCUGCAAUACAAAUAAGUAUUUCAUGUUUAUAAGUUUUCAUAUUUUCCUUAAUUCUUUCCUUAAUAUAAAAAACAUUGAAAGACCAAAAGAAAACAAAAGAAAGAGGAAGACUAACAAUUACUAAAACUCCUAGAAGUUACUAAACAAAAUUAACCAGUAAACAGCUGUACACUUCUCACUCACGCUGUGCAUCUCUUGGAAACAAAUUCUACUCGUUUCCUCAAGUGCAUAUCCUGGAUUAUAUAUUUUGUAAACAAUUUAGUCCCUUACUUCUAAUUUUUCAUCUUGACUAGUCAUGCAAAUUCUAUCAUUAGUCUGUUACUUGUCGUGAGUAGUAAAGACAAGCAUGGGAAGGUUACUGAGCAACAAAUUAAUACUCCUACCAACCUUCUCACUGGUGUAAAGAUAUGCUUCAUUGCAUUGCAAAUAUUAUCAUGACAAAAGUAAAUUAUUGGGGAUUUAAAAGUUGUGCCUACCUUGACAGAACCACUCACCAUGACUGUUGUGACUGGUUUGUGUGUGGGUGCCAGAGUUGUCAUACACUGGGGUGCUAUCUGAACCAUUGGCUCCCUCAUCCUCACUCUGGUUGGCCUCCACUACUUCCCACUUAGAGGUGGUGACAGCCUGCAAAACCCAAAUGUUAUGCUAUACUGUUCAGGAAGCACAUUGCGAUAAGAAAAAGA